rnacentral:lncRNA from 1 species
CUUGAACAGGGAAGUAAAGAUUUGAGGUUCUGCAAGGAAUGUUGCUUUAUAACAUCAGAGGGAAGGAAGAAUUUAUUUGCUUUGAAAGAUGCUGGGCAACUGUUCAAAAAGACACUUAUAGAGGGAAGAGAGAUUCAUCAGCUAAGUAUCCAGCAGUAAUGUUCACAUAGUAAACCCCAUCAAAAUUGAGAGUGUAAGUGAAGUAUCCAUUAUUGAUAAAGAUCAGUUUGAUCUUUAAGUUGUUUUUUUUGAUCUUUGAUCUUAAGGUUUCUGGAGGGAGAAGAGACCAAUGUGAAGUGAUGCUGCUACCAACUGAUAGUUGCAAUGCUAUAGCCAUUUUCUGAUACUGUGCUCAUUCCUAUUAAAAAAAAAAAUAAAUCUCAGUUCCUUAAAAAUUAAGAAA